rnacentral:rRNA from 1 species
CUGCUGCCUCCCGUAGGAGUUUGGGCCGUGUCUCAGUCCCAAUGUGGCCGUCCGCCCUCUCAGGCCGGCUACUGAUCGUCGCUUUGGUAGGCCGUUACCCUGCCAACUGGCUAAUCAGACGCGGGUCCAUCGUAUGCCACCGGAGUUUUUCACACAAAAGCAUGCGCUCUCGUGCGCUUAUGCGGUGUUAGCACCUAUUUCUAAGUGUUAUCCCCCUGCAUACGGCAGGUUACCCACGCGUUACUCACCCGUCCG